UGCAAAUAUUCAAGAGUCAUAAGUGGUUGGAUAGUGCAUUUUGUUUGGAAAGGAGAACAUUCUCAAUUUUGAUGGCCCAUUGCAUUUGUAGAAUGAUAUAAAUAUAACUUCAGGGUACAAAAAAGUAUCUGGUUUGAAGUAACUAAGCUUUCUAUUGCUCAACAAAAGUCUUAAAGCUCUCUUUUACAAUGUGUCUUAUGAAAGUGGAAUGCAAAGUACUGGUAGACAACUGUGCUUGAUCAAUCUCCACUCCAUAGAAAGCAGAUUCAAGUGAAGAUGACUUUUAGCCCCUUAGGUUAAAGAAUAUACUCCUUGUUAUUCCCACUGAAAAUUUGUUGCAACGUUACAAUUUUUCUACUGUGGUCUCAAGGUGACACAUCAUUAGUCCAAUACUCUGACCAGCGGAAUGGUUUGAGAAAUUCUUAGCCUGAUAUUCUAAUCACAGGUUACUACAAUUCGUGGUGGGAUUUUUGUUAAGUGUGUCGGGAAAUUAAAUGAGUUCUUUCUGACGAGCGCUUGGAAUUGAUGUCGAUGGGUAAACAUUCCCUUUCCGGUUCCCUCGCCAACCCUCUUCGGCCUUAAUAGAGUUGGUACGAUGUGGGAUCAUUACACAACGUCCUUACCAAACAAAAAUGGCGGAUGGGACGUCUUUGAAGAAAGCAUCAAAAAGUGAACUGUUUUCGUGGGGGGCAAACAGCUAUGGACAACUUUGUUGUGGCCACAAGAACGAUGUCUCAUUUCCGGAAAACGUCGGUGCAAGUUGUCACCUAAAAAACAGUGUUGUAGCGGCGAUAGACGGAGGUGGAGGACAUACAGCAAUUAUCACAGUGAUGCUGUUCAGUGAUUUACUAAGAUCAUGAGCGUAAAGGAAGUGAUCGCCAAGCUGUGAUUGUUGAACAACUUGUCCUUAUUAGUACCAAAUAAAAUGUAUUGGGAAGAGUGUAGAGAAUAUGGGUACUGAUGUUAGGAUGUAAAGGUUAAAGGAGCAUGAUUCCUUCAAAAGAAGACACGUCAGUUGUAUUUCAGAUCCUUUGAUGACACUUUGGAUUAAACGCCAUUUUUUCUGGAUUAUGACCAUUUAGGGAGGGAGUUUUUGAAAUCACAGGACCUGAAUCAGGUACUGUGGUAAACACCAAGUUAAGUACUAAGUUGGAUCUUUCCAUAUUCUUCUUCUUGUAGAUAAUUUUGUGCAUGUAAUUCAUCUGUAAGCAAGACGUCCACCCAUUUUCUUUGUUGUUCAAUGCAAUUUUCUCUCUCUUUCAUAGAGCGAGAGCCCACUGUGUUCCCAGCAAAUGCUGGCCUAAAAGUAACGCUCUGCUCCUGUACCAUACUUUUAACUGUGCUUUGGGGUAAAUAAAUAGCAUAGUUGCAUCCAUAGUCCUUCAUGGAAAAUCACAUAUCAUAUCUUUAAGAAAGGAGAAUCUGAUGCCCAAAAAUGAGUUUGUAGUUGCACAAGUAGAUGUUAAAUCCCUAAGUCAACUUGGUCAGCUCCAGAGCAUUACUUAUCACCAUUUUUCUGAUUAGCUUUAUUUUUAUUAUUAUUUCUUGCAUCCUUUGCCUUUUGCGUUAAUUUUCAAUAAAGUCUACAAGUCCUCAGCCUCUA